GAUUGUUUUCAUUGCUGAUGGCAUUGUCCAGAAUCUCGCAAUGUGAUGCACAACCUACGCCAUCUACAGUGACACCUACCACACUAAUCAUGCCGCCUACGUUCAUGGCACAGAUGUACACAGUGACAAUGGGCACCCACAUCCCCAACGGCAUGCA